rnacentral:tRNA from 1 species
UUUAUAGUAAGAGGAAAAUCCGUCGACUUUAGAAAUCGUGAGGGUUCAA